CCUACGGGAGGCAGCAGUGAGGAAUAUUGGUCAAUGGGCUUACGCCUGAACCAGCCAAGUCGCGUGAGGGAAGACUGCCCUAUGGGUUGUAAACCUCUUUUGUCAGGGAGCAACGCCGGCUACGUGUAGCCGGACUGAGAGAACCUGAAGAAAAAGCAUCGGCUAACUCCGUGCCAGCAGCCGCGGUAAUACGGAGGAUGCGAGCGUUAUCCGGAUUUUUUGGGUUUAAAGGGUGCGUAGGCGGAAUGCCAAGUCAGCGGUAAAAUCGCGGGGCUCAACCUCGCUCCGCCGUUGAAACUGGCGUUCUUGAGUGGGCGAGAAGUAUGCGGAAUGCGUGGUGUAGCGGUGAAAUGCAUAGAUAUCACGCAGAACUCCGAUUGCGAAGGCAGCAUACCGGCGCCCAACUGACGCUGAGGCACGAAAGCGUGGGUAUCGAACAGGAUUAGAUACCCCAGUAGUC
rnacentral:rRNA from 1 species